rnacentral:rRNA from 1 species
CGCGCAGGUGGGUGAACAAGUCGGAAGUGAAAUCUUGAGGCUCAACCUCGAGGCUGCUCCCGAAACUGUUCGCCUAGGGACUGGUAGAGGCUGGUAGAAUUCCCGGUGUAGCGGUGGAAUGCGUAGAGAUCGGGAAGAAUACCCGUGGCGAAGGCGGCCAGCUGGGCCAGGUCCGACACUGAGGCGCGAAAGCGUGGGGAGCAAACAGGAUUAGAUACCCUGGUAGUCCACGCCGUAAACGAUGGGCACUAGGCGCUGGUGGGAGCGACCCCUUCAGUGCCGUAGCUAACGCGAUAAGUGCCCCGCCUGGGGAGUACGGCCGCAAGGCUGAA